rnacentral:lncRNA from 1 species
AGAAUUUUCUGUCUCAUUUGUCAACUUCACACUGUGAACCCCCAAAAGAGUUGUCUUCAAAAUAAUUGCCCUUGUUGCUUCUCUUUACAGAGUUCUCCCCACAUUAUUAAUGGUAUGGGAAUUAGGAGAAGGUCAUCUGACUCACAUGGAUCACCAUAUAAUUCCUUCUGGAGAACAGAAAAAAUGCAGAAGAGGAAAACCUCCAUAUGUGAAGCUAUGGCAAGGGAGUCUCCCCACCCCGCGCUCCAACAGAGUCUGGAGAUAAACUGGAAAUUGCUUAUAGCCUCUCUCAGAAGGACUUGUCAGCACAAACAAUGCAGAUUGCAAAAUGAGAAAAUCUGAAACAAAAGCACAUGCUCAAAUCUCCCAGGUAAAUAUGCUUCCUAAUGAAAUCUUUUUCUUUGCAGCCUCCUGUACCAAAAUAGUAAACUUUUCCUGUAGUUCUAAACCAUUCUGAAUCUGUGUCAUGUGAAGGCAGGGCAUCUGUGGAAGGAGGGACUCUACAUCAACAUGAUUUCUGGUCCCUGAAGACUACUUCAUGUAUUUACCAUUCAAGCUAUUCAAGGAGUCUGUCAUAAUUGCACUAAGUUCUUUGACCACUGGAGCACAUGAGCUGACUUAUAAAAUGAAGGAAUACCAACACAAAUGAAAGGGUCUGUCAUAAAGACAAGUUACUGAGAGAUGUGUG